ACCCAGACUCCUACGGGAGGCAGCAGUGGGGAAUAUUGCACAAUGGGGGAAACCCUGAUGCAGCGACGCCGCGUGAGCGAUGAAGUAUUUCGGUAUGUAAAGCUCUAUCAGCAGGGAAGAAAAUGACGGUACCUGACUAAGAAGCCCCGGCUAACUACGUGCCAGCAGCCGCGGUAAUACGUAGGGGGCAAGCGUUAUCCGGAUUUACUGGGUGUAAAGGGAGCGUAGACGGCUGUGCAAGCCAGAUGUGAAAGCCCGGGGCUCAACCCCGGGACUGCAUUUGGAACUGUGUGGCUGGAGUGUCGGAGAGGCAGGCGGAAUUCCUAGUGUAGCGGUGAAAUGCGUAGAUAUUAGGAGGAACACCAGUGGCGAAGGCGGCCUGCUGGACGAUGACUGACGUUGAGGCUCGAAAGCGUGGGUAGCAAACAGGAUUAGAUACCCUUGUAGA
rnacentral:rRNA from 1 species